UUGACCUCAAAUCAGGUAGGACUACCCGCUGAACUUAAGCAUAUCAAUAAGCGGAGGAAAAGAAACUAACAAGGAUUCCCCUAGUAACUGCGAGUGAAGCGGGAAAAGCUCAAAUUUAAAAUCUGGCGGUUUUGCCGUCCGAGUUGUAAUUUAGAGAAGUGUUACCCGCGCUGGACCGUGUACAAGUCUCUUGGAAUAGAGCGUCAUAGAGGGUGAGAAUCCCGUCUUUGACACGGACUACCAGGGCAUUGUGGUACGCUCUCAAAGAGUCGAGUUGUUUGGGAAUGCAGCUCAAAAUGGGUGGUAAAUUCCAUCUAAAGCUAAAUAUUGGGGAGAGACCGAUAGCGAACAAGUACCGUGAGGGAAAGAUGAAAAGAACUUUGGAAAGAGAGUUAAACAGUACGUGAAAUUGCUGAAAGGGAAACGCUUGAAGUCAGUCGCGUUGUUCAGGAUUCAGCCUUGCUUUUGCUUGGUGUACUUCCUGUUCGACGGGUCAGCAUCAGUUUUGACCGGUGGAAAAAGGCUUAGGGAAUGUGGCAUCUUCGGGUGUGUUAUAGCC
rnacentral:rRNA from 1 species